UACGUAGGGGGCUAGCGUUGUCCGGAAUCAUUGGGCGUAAAGCGCGUGUAGGCGGUCCGGUAAGUCCGCUGUGAAAGUCGAGGGCUCAACCCUCGAAUGCCGGUGGAUACUGUCGGGCUAGAGUACGGAAGAGGCGAGUGGAAUUCCUGGUGUAGCGGUGAAAUGCGCAGAUAUCAGGAGGAACACCAAUAGCGAAGGCAGCUCGCUGGGACGUUACUGACACUGAGGCGCGAAAGCGUGGGGAGCGAACAGG
rnacentral:rRNA from 1 species